rfam:Picea glauca, whole genome shotgun sequence.
CGACCCCAACUCAGACGAAAACUACCAUUGAGUUUAAGCAUAUAAUUAAGUGGAGGAAAAGAAAUUUACAAGGAUUUCCCUAGUAAUGGCGAGCGAACCGGAAAGAGCCUAGCAUGAAAAUCGAGUCGCAGCGCCCCCCUGAAUUGUAGUCUGUAGAAGAGUCCUUAGCAGCGAACCAGGCCCAAGUCCCCUAGAAGGGGGCGCCUGAGAGGGUGUUAGCCCCGUCGGGCCGAAACCCUGCCGCACCACGAGGCAUUGUCGACGAGUCGGGUUGCUUGGGAAUGCAGCGCUAAUCGGGUGGUAAAUUCCAUCCAAGGUUAAAUACGAGCGAGAGACCGAUAGCGAACAAGUACUGUGAUGGAAAGAUGAAAAGGACUUUGAAAAGAGAGUUAAAGAGUGCUUGAAAUUGCCAGGAGGGAAGCAAAUGGAGGCCGACGAUGCGUCUCGAUCGGAUGUGGAACGGCUCAAGCUGGUCCACCACUCGACUCGAGUUGUGAACCAGCACAGGCCGUUGCAUCGGCACAAGCGCGGGUGGAGUAUUGCAUGUUGGUUUGUCGUUGUGGCGGUCGAGGAACGAAGCGUGCGCCUCUUGGGGCGGGCCACUAUGCACCUACACACUCGUGGUGAUGGUUGGCGGUCUUUCCAUUCAACCCAUCUUGAAACACGGACCAAGGAGUCUAACAUGUGUGCAAGUCGGUGGGUUUGUAAACCUGCAAGGCAUAAGGACGUUGACAGACAAGAUCCCCUCUCCAUGGGGUGCAUUGUCGACCGACCUUGAGCUUGUGCAAAGGGUUCGAGUGCAAGCACACCUGUUGGGACCCGAAAGAUCGUGAACUAUGCCUGAGCAAGGCGAAGCCAGAGGAAACUCUAGUGGAGGCUCGUAGCAUAUUGACGUGCAAAUCGUUCGUCUGACUUGGGUAUAGGGGCGAAAGACUAAUCGAACCAUCUAGUAGUUGGUUUCCUCCGAAGUUUCCCUCAGGAUAGUUGGAGCUCAUGUGCGAGUUUUAUCGGGUAAAGCAAAUGAUUAGAGGCAUCGGAGGCAUAAUGCCCUCGACUUAUUCUCAAACUUUAAAUAGGUAAGACGAUGUGGUUGCUCCAUUGAGUCGUGCCACAGAAUCAAGAGCUCCAAGUGGGCCAUUUUUGGUAAGCAGAACUGGCAAUGCGGGAUGAACCGAAAGUCAAGUUACGGUGCCAAACUGCAUGCUAACCCAAAUCCCAAAAAGGGUGUUGGUUGAUUAAGACAGCAGGACGGUGGUCAUGGAAGUCGAAAUCCGCUAAGGAGUGUGUAACAACUCGCCCGCCGAAUCAACUAGCUCUAAAAAUGGAUGGUGCUGAAGCACGCGACCUAUACUCGACCAUCAGAGCAAUUGCCAGGCUUCGAUGAGUAGGAGGAUGCGGGGGUCGUUGAGAAACCUUGGGCGUGAGCCUGGGUGGACCAGUCCCCGGUGCAGAUCUUGGUGGUAUUAGCAAAUAUUCAAAUGAGAACAUUGAAGACUGAAGUGGGGAAAGGUUCCAUGUGAACAGCACUUGGACAUGGGUUAGUUGAUCCUAAGAGAUGUGGAAGCCCUGUAUCAAUGGUGCACUCUACACGAACAUCGAAAGGUAAUCGGGUUAGUAUUCAAAAAAUCGAGACAUGGCGGCAAACGGCAACGUUAGAAAAUCUAGAAGAGUUAUCUUUUCUUUUUAACAGCUUGCCCACCCUGAAAUUGGCUCAACCGAAGAUAGGGUCCAGCAGCUGGAAGAGCAUCGCACGUCUUGUGGUGUCUGGUGCGCCCUCGGCGGCCCUUGAAAAUCUGGAGGACCAAGUACCAUUCAUGCCCGAUCGUACUCAUAACCGCAUCAGGUCUCCAAGGUGAACAACCUCUGGUCAAUAGAACAAUGUAAGUAAGGGAAGUCGGCAAAACGGAUCUGUAACUUCGGGAAAAGGAUUGGCUCUGAGCGUUGGGCCUAGGGGUCUGCGUCCUCAACCCGUGGGUUAUCGACAGUCUGCCCGAGUUGUUAUCGCGGCGACGGCAGGCAAUCCUGUGUCGAUUGGGCUACAGACGUAGAAUGUCCCCUCGCAGGGGAUUUUCCCUAGGCGGCGAACAAUCAACUCAGAACUGGUACGGAUAAGGGGAAUCCGACUGUUUAAUUAAAACAAAGCAUUGUGAUGGUCCCUGCAGAUGUUGACGCAAUGUGAUUUUUUCCAAGUGCUCUGAAUGUCAAAGUGAAGAAAUUCAACCAAGCGCGAGUAAACGGCGAGAAUAACUAUGACUCUCUUAAGGUAGCCAAAUGCCUCGUCAUCUAAUUAGUGACGUGCAUGAAUGGAUUAAUGAGAUUCCCACUGUCCCUAUCUACUAUCUAGUGAAACCACAACCAAGGGAAUGGGCUUGGCAGAAUCAGCGGGGAAAGAAGACCAUGUUGAGCUUGACUCUAGUGUAACUUUGUGAAAUGACUUGAGAGGUGUAGAAUAAGUGGGAGACAUUUUCGACGCAAGUGAAAUACCACUACUUUUAACGUUAUUUUACUUAUUUAGUGGGGCGAAGACGGGGCAUCGCCCCUGUUUUUGGCCUUAAGACACGUUUCGACGGGUCGAUCCGGGCGGAAGACAUUGUCAAGUGGGGAGUUUGGUUGGGGCGACACAUCUGUUAAAACAUAAUGCAAGUGUCCUAAGAUGAGCUCAACGAGAACAGAAAUCUCAUGUGGAACAAAAGGGUAAAAGAUCAUUUGAUUUUGAUUUUCAGUACAAAUACAAUCCGUGAAUGUGUGGCCUAUCAAUCCUUUAGACUAUCGAAAUUUGAAGCUAGAGGUGUCAAAAAAGCUCCCACGAGGAUAACUAGUUUGUGGCAGCCAAGCGUUCAUAGCGACGUUGCUUUUUUAUCCUUCCAUGUCGGCUCUUCCUAUCAUUGUGAAGCAGAAUUCACCAAGUGUUGGAUUGUUCACCCACCAAUAGGGAACGUGAGGUGGGUUUAGACCGUCGUGAGACAGGUUAGUUUUACCCUACUAAUGAAUCGCGCCGCAAUAGUAAUUCAACUUAGUACGAGAGGAACCGUUGAUUCACACAAUUAGUCAUCGCGCUUGGUUGAAAAGCCAGUGGCGCGAAGCUACCGUGUGUCGGAUUAUGACUGAAUGCCUCUAAGUCAGAAUCCACGCUAGAAGCGGCGCUUGUCACGACUCGAUUAUAUCUUGACCCACAGUAUGGGUGUCACUUCGGCACCCCCAGUGGCCCGUGUCACUUGCAAACCUUGAUCGGGAAGCGUCUCAGUCGGGGCAGCUUUGAAGUUCAAUUUCAAACGGUCAUUGAGAAGAAUCCUUUGCAAACGAUUUAAAUACACGACAGGGUAUUGUAAGUGGCAGAGUGGUCUUGCUGCCACGAUCCAUUGAGAUUCAGCCCUUCAUCGCCUCGAUUCAG